rnacentral:misc_RNA from 1 species
AAGUCGUAACAAGGUUUCCGUAGGUGAACCUGCGGAAGGAUCAUUCUUGUAUCACUGUGUAUAUUAUUGUACACAAACUCUUGAUAUGAUAUCAUGAUUAUAUGAUAUUUUAUUUAAUUAUGUGAAAUGUGCCAGUCUGUUGUUGCAUUGCGACGCAGUGUGUAUAGCAACGUGGUUCUGUCAGCUAGCUGUCUCAUUGUGAAUACGCACUUUCGAGUGUUGUGCUUCGUUGAGGAAACAGCUUGGUGACAGGGUCGCAUUGCUCAGGCAUUUAAUGUCUGAAUUCCACGCAACAUCGCAAGCAAUUGCAGACAACUGAUUAAUUAUUAAUUUAUACUUACACCAUUUACCUACUGUUGAUGUCAGAAUUAACUAUAAAAAUUUAUGACAACUUUUAGCAACGGAUCUCUAGGCUCUC